AUUGAACGCUGGCGGCAGGCCUAACACAUGCAAGUCGAACGAGUGGCGGACGGGUGAGUAAUGUCUGGGAACCUGCCUGAUGGAGGGGGAUAACUACUGGAAACGGUAGCUAAUACCGCAUACAAUCCGAUGUGCCCAGAUGGGAUUGGCUUGGUGGUGGGGUAACGGCGCACCAAGGCUACGAUCCCUAGCUGGUCUGAGAUGAUGAACAGCCACCCUGGUACGGAGACACGGUCCAGACUCCUACGGUAGGCAGCAGUGGGGAAUAUUGCACAAUGGGCGCAAGCCUGAUGCAGCCAUGCGGCGUGUAUGAAGAAGGCCUUCGGGUUGUAAAGUACCUUCAGCGGGGAGGCGUUACCCGCAGAAGAAGCACCGGCUAACUCCGUGCCAGCAGCCGCGGUAAUAC
rnacentral:rRNA from 1 species